UGAAGGGCGGGGUGCUUACACAUGCAAGUCGAACGAUGAACCACUUCGGUGGGGAUUAGUGGCGAACGGGUGAGUAACACGUGGGCAAUCUGCCCUGCACUCUGGGACAAGCCCUGGAAACGGGGUCUAAUACCGGAUACUGACCAUUGCAGGCAUCUGUGAUGGUCGAAAGCUCCGGCGGUGCAGGAUGAGCCCGCGGCCUAUCAGCUUGUUGGUGAGGUAGUGGCUCACCAAGGCGACGACGGGUAGCCGGCCUGAGAGGGCGACCGGCCACACUGGGACUGAGACACGGCCCAGACUCCCGGCCCAGACUCCCUACGGGAGGCCAGCAGUGGGGAAUAUUGCACCAAUGGGCGAAAGCCUGAUGCAGCGGACGCCGCGUGAGGGAUGACGGCUUCCGGGUUGUAAACCUCUUUCAGCAGGGAAGAAGCGAAAGUGACGGUACCUGCAGAAGAAGCGCCGGCUAACUACGUGCCAGCAGCCGCGGUAAUACGUAGGGCGCGAGCGUUGUCCGGAAUUAUUGGGCGUAAAGAGCUCGUAGGCGGCUUGUCACGUCGGUUGUGAAAGCCCGGGGCUUAACCCCGGGUCUGCAGUCGAUACGGGCAGGCUAGAGUUCGGUAGGGGAGAUCGGAAUUCCUGGUGUAGCGGUGAAAUGCGCAGAUAUCAGGAGGAACACCGGUGGCGAAGGCGGAUCUCUGGGCCGAUACUGACGCUGAGGAGCGAAAGCGUGGGGAGCGAACAGGAUUAGAUACCCUGGUAGUCCACGCCGUAAACGGUGGGCACUAGGUGUGGGCAACAUUCCACGUUGUCCGUGCCGCAGCUAACGCAUUAAGUGCCCCGCCUGGGGAGUACGGCCGCAAGGCUAAAACUCAAAGGAAUUGACGGGGGCCCGCACAAGCGGCGGAGCAUGUGGCUUAAUUCGACGCAACGCGAAGAACCUUACCAAGGCUUGACAUACACCGGAAACGUCCAGAGAUGGGCGCCCCCUUGUGGUCGGUGUACAGGUGGUGCAUGGCUGUCGUCAGCUCGUGUCGUGAGAUGUUGGGUUAAGUCCCGCAACGAGCGCAACCCUUGUCCCGUGUUGCCAGCAGGCCCUUGUGGUGCUGGGGACUCACGGGAGAACCGCCGGGUCAACCUCGGAAGAAGGUGGGGACGAACGUCAAGUCAAUCUGCCCCUUAUGUCUUGGGCUGCACACGUGCUACAAUGGCCGGUACAAUGAGCUGCGAUACCGCGAGGUGGAGCGAAUCUCAAAAAGCCGGUCUCAGUUCGGAUUGGGGUCUGCAACUCGACCCCAUGAAGUCGGAGUCGCUAGUAAUCGCAGAUCAGCAUUGCUGCGGUGAAUACGUUCCCGGGCCUUGUACACACCGCCCGUCACGUCACGAAAGUCGGUAACACCCGAAGCCGGUGGCCCAACCCCUUGUGGGAGGGAGCUGUCGAAGGUGAACGCGGUUUUU
rnacentral:rRNA from 1 species